UACGGAGGGUGCAAGCGUUGUCCGGAAUCAUUGGGCGUAAAGCGCGUGUAGGCGGCUCGGUAAGUCUGCUGUGAAAGUCCAGGGCUCAACCCUGGGAUGCCGGUGGAUACUGUCGAGCUCGAGUCCGGAAGAGGCGAGUGGAAUUCCUGGUGUAGCGGUGAAAUGCGCAGAUAUCAGGAGGAACACCGAUGGCGAAGGCAGCUCGCUGGGACGUGACUGACGCUGAGACGCGAAAGCGUGGGGAGCAAACAGG
rnacentral:rRNA from 1 species